UAUCUGAUAUAGAUCGCGUGAGAUGAGCUUGUGGCGGAACAAAUAACUGCGGAUAAAGAUGGUGAUAAAGGUUCCGAAGGAUUUAAGGAUAGCAGGGCGAGAGAGCACGUUGGACGAGGCCGAUGGCUGCGGUAUAGGGCGAGGCUGGUGGCUACAAUAAAGAGCGCUUCCAGUGAAGGCGAUGGCUUCGGUAGAACCAGAGAAGAAAUAAGAAGAUAAUAAAAUUACACAGUUAAGAUGAAGUUAUAUUGUUUCAAAAAAAUUACACCAUUUGAGACGAAAAUUGCACUUUUUGAAAUAAAAUUACACUGUUCGAGUGAAAAUUAUAUUGUUUGAGACAAAAAUUAUACUGUUUGAACGAAAAUUAUACUAUUUAAAAUUAUUUAAGACUAUGUUAUACUAUACAAGAUAGAUGUUGCAUCGUUUAAGACUAAAUUGUACUAUUUGAAACUAAGUUACAA
rnacentral:lncRNA from 1 species